UACAGAGGUCCCAAGCGUUGUUCGGAUUUACUGGGCGUAAAGGGCGCGUAGGCGGCGCAACAAGUCACUUGUGAAAUCUCCGGGCUUAACCCGGAGCGGUCAAGUGAUACUGUCGUGCUAGAGUGCAGAAGGGGCAACUGGAAUUCUCGGUGUAGCGGUGAAAUACGUAGAUAUCGAGAGGAACACCUGCGGCGAAGGCGGGUUGCUGGGCUGACACUGACGCUGAGGCGCGAAAGCUAGGGGAGCGAACGGG
rnacentral:rRNA from 1 species